UACGAACGCUGGCGGCAGGCUUAACACAUGCAAGUCGAGCGCAUCCUUCGGGGUGAGCGGUAGACGGGUGAGUAACGCGUGGGAACGUACCCUUUCCUACGGAAUAGCUCCGGGAAACUGGAAUUAAUACCGUAUACGCCCUUAGGGGGAAAGAUUUAUCGGGGAAGGAUCGGCACGCGUUGGAUUAGCUAGUUGGUGGGGGAAAGGCCCACCAAGGCGACGAUCCAUAGCUGGUCUGAGAGGAGGAUCAGCCACAUUGGGACUGAGCAACGGCCCAAACUCCUACGGGAGGCAGCAGGGGGGGGUAUUGGACAAUGGGCGCAAGCCUGAUCCAGCCGUGCCGCGUGAGUGAUGAAGGCCUUAGUGUUGUAAAGCUCUUUCAGUAGGGAAGAUAAUGACGGUACCUACAGAAGAAGCCCCGGCUAACUUCGUGCCAGCCGCCGCAGUAA
rnacentral:rRNA from 1 species